rnacentral:rRNA from 1 species
CAAGAGCGUAUGUAAAAGUUGUUGCAGUUAAAAAGCUCGUAGUUGAACCUUGGGUUUGGUUGGCCGGUCCGCUUUUUUGCGAGUACUGGAUUCAACCGAGCCUUUCCUUCUGGCUAACCAGUCGUUUCGGCGGCCGGCGAACCAGGAUUUUUACUUUGAGAAAAUUAGAGUGUUCAAAGCAGGCAUUAGCUUGAAUAUAUUAGCAUGGAAUAAUAGAAUAGGACGUUAUGGUUCUAUUUUGUUGGUUUCUAGGACCAUCGUAAUGAUUAAUAGGGACGGUCGGGGGCAUCAGUAUUCAGUUGUCAGAGGUGAAAUUCUUGGAUUUACUGAAGACUAACUACUGCGAAAGCAUUUGCCAAGGACGUUUUCAUUAA